GUCCGUCUUUACGUCAAGACUAAUUUUCAAGAUGUCAGCUUUACGAUAACCUCACUUCAACCAUGUCGCUCCUCCUCACCUCCUUGCUCACCCACCCACAUGCGGAUCGGAAAUAUGAGGCAUGUGCGUGGACUGUGGAAUGUAAAUAAACGCGAGAUGAAUCCUAAGUACAUACUUUACUUCGUGCUGAUAAAGUGACAAUUGAUAUCGUUGCGUGGCUAUGAGGUUGCCGAUCAGACGCUUGUGGCAAGGAUGCACACUGCUUAAGAUCAGACUGGAGCUUGAGGAAAAUCACUAAUUGUAGGAUUGAUACUGUACUCACGUUUGAAAUAUUAGAAUAAGAUAUACGACAGAAAAAAUAGAAGAAUUCAACCCCAUUCAAACAUUUGUAAGCAAUGAAAAUAUUUCACUGACAGAACUGGUAAAAAAUAAGUC